ACAUUGCACAGUAAUGAAAACAUAAUAUCUUACUUUGCAUAUGUUUGUUUGCAUGUUUUUUGAGCACAUAAAAAUCGAAUACCUAAUUUUCCAUAUAUCUAUCCUUUCUGUAACAGAUAUAUGAAGUUGAUUCAUGACUGGUCAUACAUUUUCAAUUGGAGACAGAUCUGGACUGCAGAGUGAAAAUCCUAAAAGAAAAGGCUCUUCCAGAUAUUGAGAACUACAUGUUUGAGGAACACGAUCAAAUCAGACAAGCUGCCACAGAGUGCAUGUGCAAUCUGGUUUGCUGCAAAGAGGUUCAAGACAGAUAUCUGGAAGACGGCAAUGUAAACUCAAGCUUCUUGUCCUGCUCUGCGGUGAAGAUGAUGAGUAGCUUCAGAGGGCAGCUGCUGGUGCACUGGCUAUGCUCACCGCUGCACAGAAGAAACCGGCUGUUAAGAUGACUAAGUGACUGGGCAGUGGCUUGAGAUCAUACAGAGAUUGUGCAUCCAUGACAACCCUGAAAUUCAGCACAGAGGUCUUGUGACGGUGUUUAAUAUGCUGGACGCUGAUGAACAACUAGCCAAGAAGCUCAUUGAAUGUGAACUGCUGGAAAUCCUGACAUAUGUGGCAAAACUAGAGGACAACCCCAAGAAGCAGGAUGCUAUUAAUGCUGCCUGCCUGCCUGUCUAGAGCCAUGGAUAGUGGAUUCAUCAAACCAUUUUCAAAUUAAACAGAAAACAAUUCAUUGUGACGUAUCAUUAGGCGAAUAGAGAAUGGUCUGCUUUCUGGGAAAGUGGAAAGACUGCAAACUAUUUGCAAUAUGUUUUAUUUUUUAAAUUUCUACUGAUAAGCAUAGUUCUUUCUGUUAGAUGCUGUUUGUGUGGCUUUUUGUUUGAUCAGUGGAAUUUGGUAUUACAUGCUCAUUUCAUAUUUCAUGUAUUUGCACUUGUGAAGUUUUGAUACACAGAUAAAAAUCU